rnacentral:rRNA from 1 species
GAUGAACGCUGGCGGUAUGCUUAACACAUGCAAGUCGUAUGAAAACUUCGGUUUUAGUGGCGGACGGGUGAUUAACACGUGAGAAUCGGCCUUUAGGAGGGGGAUAACAGCUAGAAAUCACUCCUAAUACCACAUAUGCCGCAAGGGGCAUUAGUUUUCUGCCUAUAGAAGAGCCCGCGUCUCAUUAGCUUGUUGGUGUGUUAAUGGCUCAACAAGGCAACGAUCAGUAGCUGGUCUAAGAGUAUGGCCAGCCACACUGGGACUGAGACACGGCCCAGACUCCUACGGGAGGAAGCAGUGGUGAAUUUGCCGCAAUGGGCGUAAGCCUGACGGAGCAAUACCGCGUGAGGGAUGAAGGCUCGUGGAUUGUAAACCUCUUUUCUCAGGAAAGAAGCUCUGACGGUACCUGAGCAAUAAGCAUCGGCUAACUCCGUGCCAGCCGCCGCCGUAAGAC